rnacentral:rRNA from 1 species
UACGACGGGGGCUAGCGUUGCUCGGAAUCACUGGGCGUACAGCGCACGUAGGCGGAUUGCUAAGUCAGGGGUGAAAUCCUGGAGCUCAACUCCAGAACUGCCUUUGAUACUGGCGACCUUGAGUCCGGGAGAGGUGAGUGGAACUGCGAGUGUAGAGGUGAAAUUCGUAGAUAUUCGCAAGAACACCAGUGGCGAAGGCGGCUCACUGGCCCGGUACUGACGCUGAGGUGCGAAAGCGUGGGGAGCAAACAGG